CCUACGGGGGGCUGCAGUGGGGAAUAUUGGACAAUGGGGGCAACCCUGAUCCAGCAAUGCCGCGUGUGUGAAGAAGGCCUGCGGGUUGUAAAGCACUUUCAGUAGGGAAGAAAAGCUCGGAGUUAAUACCUCCGGGUCUUGACGUUACCUAAAGAAGAAGCACCGGCUAACUCCGUGCCAGCAGCCGCGGUAAUACGGAGGGUGCAAGCGUGCGUCGGAAUUACGGAGCGUAAAGCGCGAGUAGGCGGUGAAAGCCCUGGGCUUAACCUGGGAACUGCAUUCGAUACUGUCUGGCUAGAGUAUGGGAGAGGGAAGCGGAAUUUCCGGUGUAGCGGUGAAAUGCGUAGAUAUCGGAAGGAACAUCAAUGGCGAAGGCAGCUUCCUGGCCCAAUACUGACGCUCAGGUGCGAAAGCGUGGGGAUCAAACAGGAUUAGAUACCCCAGUAGUC
rnacentral:rRNA from 1 species